UUUAAUUGAAGAGUUUGAUCAUGGCUCAGAUUGAACGCUGGCGGCAGGCCUAACACAUGCAAGUCGAGCGGCAGCACAGAGAAACUUGUUUCUCGGGUGGCGAGCGGCGGACGGGUGAGUAAUGCCU
rnacentral:rRNA from 1 species